rnacentral:tRNA from 1 species
GUGGGCGUAGCUCAGCCGGUGAGAGCGCCAGACUGUGGAUCUGGAGGUUGGGGGUUCGAGUCCCCUCGCCCACC